GACGAACGCUGGCGGCGUGCUUAACACAUGCAAGUCGAACGGAAAGGCCCUGCUUGCAGGGUACUCGAGUGGCGAACGGGUGAGUAACACGUGGGUGUUCUGCCCUGCACUUCGUGAUAAGCCUGGGAAACUGGGUCUAAUACCGGAUAGGAGCCAUUUUUAGUGUGAUUGUUGGAAAGUUUUUUCGGUGUAGGAUGAGAUCGCGGCCUAUCAGCUUGUUGGUGGGGUAAGGGCCUACCAAGGCGGCGACGGGUAGCCGGCCUGGGAGGGUGGACGGCCACAUUGGGACUGGGAUACGGCCCAGACCCCUACGGGAGGCAGCAGUGGGGAAUAUUGCACAAUGGGGGCAAGCCUGAUGCAGCGACGGCGCGUGGGGGAUGACGGCCUUCGGGUUGUAAACUCCUUUCGCUAGGGACGAAGCUUUUUGUGACGGUACCUAGAAAAGAAGCACCGGCUAACUACGUG
rnacentral:rRNA from 1 species